rnacentral:lncRNA from 1 species
UUUAUUACUGGGAGUUCAAGAGAUGCAGGAAAGACUAGAACAAGAACAUAACAGAAUCAGAUAGAUUGUCCCUUCAUUGAGUUUAUAAAUAAGCACGGCUCAUUGUGCAGCAGUAUGCUUUGUGUUAGUUUUUAGAAAAACGAUGCUUAUAACCUGUAUGUGGUUAGUCUCUUUUAACUUUCAAAUGUAUUGUCAACUCUUUUUCCUUUCAUUGCUUUUAAGGAUGAAUGGUGCUGAGAUCAAAUAGUUAUUCCUUUCAUUUCUUUAAUAGAAUAUCUAGAUCCUCUGUCCCCUGUUGUAAACUCGGUAGUUAGGGGAUCUAAUUUUUUCCUGAGUAUCCAAACUGUGGCCAAUACACUUGAGAAAAGUAAUUACCUGUUCUAAUAUAAAGUGUAUUAAUAUUAAUGAUAAAAAUGUACUUUCUCUCUUUCAACUGGAAGACUAGAUUCAUUGCAGAUGAACUUAGGUUAUUGAGAUCUAGCUGUUAGUUUCGGGGUAUUCUAAAAAGAAUUUGAUUUCUUGGAAUUGAGGAUAUACAGUUAUUACUUUGGAUAAAACAGCCUGAAAUUUCAAGAGAGUUCUACCUUUCUUCAGGACUGGUAAUAACUCAUUCUUGGAAGCUUGACUCAAACCUAUGUAUCCUAACCUUUAAGUAGUCCAUUAAUUAAUGUUAAAAAUGAGAUUUCAGAGUAUCAUUUUAGAUAUGUUAAUACAAUGUUUAUAACUCUUUUACUAUAUUUUAUGUGGGUAAUUUGUAAAAAUUCUAUGGUCAUUGAUCCCCUUCCUAACUACUUAUGAAUUUGAGAAUCUAUAUUAUGAAUUGACAUUUUCUGUUUUCAGACUGAGAAUUUUGUUAUGGGGCA